rnacentral:rRNA from 1 species
CAUCCUUUUGGUGUCAGUUGACUUGAUUGGGCGGGUCCAAUAUCAGCCGGAUUCCCCUUGAGAGACUUUGGGAAGGCCUGACGGUCUCACCCAAUGGCUUGGGGUUCUGCCGGCUGUGAGGGGUGGCGGUUAACUCACUUUAAGCAAUCAAUUCUGAAGACAGCUCUAUUGGCUAGCAUUGCUGGCUGUAGACUGAACAAAUACAGACAACUCUCAACAACGGAUAUCUUGGCUCCCGUAACGAUGAAGAACGCAGCGAAAUGCGAUACGUAGUGUGAAUUGCAGAAUUCCGUGAACCAUCGAAUCUUUGAACGCAAAUUGCGCUCGAGGCUUCGGCCAAGAGCAUGUCUGCCUCAGCGUCGGCUACUACCCUCAACUAAGUUUCCUAUGAAAGACUAGGGGAUGCCAGUUGGAUAUGGCAGUCCGGUUUGCCUUUCAGGUUGCCGGUCAGCUGAAAUAUAUUCACGCUCUGGGGGCUGCUUUCCUUGAAAGGCUACUUUUAAGGGGAGGCGAGUUCCGAUUUGGUAGGUGACCUUUGCCGGUUACAUGCCUUCGUUGCUCGCUAAGCUUCCCAAUAGUCGUUGUGCAGGACGCCUUUUGGCUUUCGACCUGAGGUCAGGCAAGAACACCCGCUGAACUUAAGCAUAUCAAUAAGCGGAGGAAAAGAA